rnacentral:rRNA from 1 species
UGGGGAAUCUUGCGCAAUGGGCGAAAGCCUGACGCAGCCAUGCCGCGUGAAUGAUGAAGGUCUUAGGAUUGUAAAAUUCUUUCACCGGGGACGAUAAUGACGGUACCCGGAGAAGAAGCCCCGGCUAACUUCGUGCCAGCAGCCGCGGUAAUACGAAGGGGGCUAGCGUUGCUCGGAAUUACUGGGCGUAAAGGGAGCGUAGGCGGACAUUUAAGUCAGGGGUGAAAUCCCGGGGCUCAACCUCGGAAUUGCCUUUGGUACUGGGUGUCUUGAGUAUGAGAGAGGUGUGUGGAACUCCGAGUGUAGAGGUGAAAUUCGUAGAUAUUCGGAAGAACACCAGUGGCGAAGGCGACACACUGGCUCAUUACUGACGCUGAGGCUCGAAAGCGUGGGGAGCAAACAGG